rnacentral:rRNA from 1 species
CUUACCAUGCAGUCGAACGCUGAAGCACCCAGCUUGCUGGGUGUGGAUGAGUGGCGAACGGGUGAGUAACACGUGAGUAACCUGCCCCUGACUUCGGGAUAAGCCUGGGAAACUGGGUCUAAUACCGGAUAUGACUACUGGCCGCAUGGUCUGGUGGUGGAAAGGGUUUUACUGGUUGGGGAUGGACUCGCGGCCUAUCAGUUUGUUGGUGGGGUAGUGGCCUACCAAGACGACGACGGGUAGCCGGCCUGAGAGGGCGACCGGCCACACUGGGACUGAGACACGGCCCAGACUCCUACGGGAGGCAGCAGUGGGGAAUAUUGCACAAUGGGGGGAACCCUGAUGCAGCGACGCCGCGUGCGGGAUGACGGCCUUCGGGUUGUAAACCGCUUUCAGUAGGGAAGAAGCGAAAGUGACGGUACCUGCAGAAGAAGUACCGGCUAACUACGUGCCAGCAGCCGCGGUAAUACGUAGGGUACAAGCGUUGUCCGGAAUUAUUGGGCGUAAAGAGCUCGUAGGUGGUUGGUCACGUCUGCUGUGGAAACGCAACGCUUAACGUUGCGCGUGCAGUGGGUACGGGCUGACUAGAGUGCAGUAGGGGAGUCUGGAAUUCCUGGUGUAGCGGUGAAAUGCGCAGAUAUCAGGAGGAACACCGGUGGCGAAGGCGGGACUCUGGGCUGUAACUGACGCUGAGGAGCGAAAGCAUGGGGAGCGAACAGGAUUAGAUACACUGGUAGUCCAUG